rnacentral:rRNA from 1 species
GACGAACGCUGGCGGCGUGCUUAACACAUGCCAGUCGAACGGAAAGGCCCUGCUUUUGUGGGGUGCUCGAGUGGCGAACGGGUGAGUAACACGUGAGUAACCUGCCCUUUACUUUGGGAUAACUUCAGGAAACUGGGGCUAAUACCGGAUAGGAGCUCCUGCUGCAUGGUGGGGGUUGGAAAGUUUCGGCGGUUGGGGAUGGACGCGCGGCUUAUCAGCUUGUUGGUGGGGUAGUGGCUUACCAAGGCUUUGACGGGUAGCCGGCCUGAGAGGGUGACCGGCCACAUUGGGCCUGAGAGACGGGCCAGACUCCUACGGGAGGCAGCAGUGGGGAAUAUUGCACAAUGGGCGGAAGCCUGAUGCAGCAACGCCGCGUGCGGGAUGACGGCCUUCGGGUUGUAAACCGCUUUCGCCUGUGACGAAGCGUGAGUGACGGUAAUGGGUAAAGAAGCACCGGCUAACUACGUG